GCCAGGUGUGGGUGGUAUACACCUGUAAUCCUUUCUUUUGAAGAAACUGAAACUUUUGAAUAUCUUGCCUUUGGAAGUUCUGCGUUUCAGUGGGCUAAUGUGAUCUGAUGUCCAUACUUGGUACUAUAUUAAUGUGGUGAGCCUCCAAAGAAUGGGAGGCCAACAGGUUACUUAAGGAGGAGUGAAUGAAUUAAGAUUGGAAAUGAAGCAGUAAAAACUCCUAUGCUGAUCAGAGUGGGACCAGGCUAUUGGUAGCCCCUGCUCUCCCAGCUUGGGUUACAGGGGGAGACCUAGUCUU
rnacentral:SRP_RNA from 1 species